rnacentral:lncRNA from 1 species
AAAAAUAGGAAACGGAAUGCCAAUGGCUGGUCUUACAUCCAACUCCUAACACACACAAAAAGAUUAUCAAACAGACAAGCUAAUAGGGAGUCUGGAACUCGAACCUAAUAGCCGUCAAGCAAACACACACAAAAAGAAAAGGUCGAAAAACAAAAAGGGUGCCCGGAGAGAUCUCGCACGAUCUCCUGCCUACGUACCUCAUCUGGUAUGAGGAUCAGGGCAACGUAGUUCCCCUUAGCAGGGAAGAAAUUUCUAUCAUAAC